rnacentral:rRNA from 1 species
UACGGAGGGUGCGAGCGUUGUCCGGAAUCAUUGGGCGGAAAGGGCGCGUAGGUGGCCCGGUCAGUUCGUGGUGAAAGCGCGGGGCUCAACCCUGCGUCGGCCAUGAAUACUGCCGCGGCUGGAGCACUGUAGAGGCAGGCGGAAUUCCGGGUGUAGCGGUGGAAUGCGUAGAGAUCCGGAAGAACACCGGUGGCGAAGGCGGCCUGCUGGGCAGUUGCUGACACUGAGGCGCGACAGCGUGGGGAGCAAACAGG